UGCUGGGCAUCUCCAAAAAUUUGCAGGGAACAAAAACAAAAGCUAAAUUAAACCAUUUCUUAUACUCCUAGGAAAGAGACAUAAUGGAAAGGACCAUCUGUCCUUUUUCUCUGUGAAAGUUAGAUGAUGUAACCAGGCUGGUAUCUCCCAAAAUAACAGAUUCUGGGUUUAAUUCAUAAGUCCACCUCAAAUGUUUUUGAGGCUGGCAGUGAAAGACACCUUGCUGAAGACACUUUUUAACUUCCUAGACCCACUGGACCAAAAUGAAGGCGUCCCUUGCAGGAAUAUGAGUAGGGUAUCUCCCAUGGUUUGCUUAGUGAUUGCAUUACCCAGAGAAUGGCUAUCAAAUACGUUUGAGCAGGGCAACCUGAAGAAAAAUAGUGCUUACAUACUGGUUGGAUGCUGUAGCAAGUUGGUUAAUAAGCAGGUCUGGAAGUAAGAAAGUUUGGAUGAAACAUAGCUCUUUACGUGUAUGAGAAGAUAUAUUAAAUACAAAUUUAUGCAUAUAUAAAUUAGGCAAUGCUUUACUAAACUUUUCCUUUCUGAGGAACAGCAAAACAGAAUUCAGAAGUGCAAGAUAAGUUUGGUGUCCAAUCUUUAAGCAGCUUUUAAGAGAGGUGCUGAAGACCGACUGCAGAUGGCUGGAGCAGGAAGAGGAAUGGGAGGGUGAAAUGCUACUCUUUGCCUAUCUGUCCGUAAGAAGGAAGCAAAGCAACAUCUCACUGUGGCCAGUUCUGUGCGAACAGGGAAAGUGGUGCAAGAGGAAUGGAGACUUCAUGGAGACCUCUGUAGGAUCAGCUUUCAGAAAGAGUUAAGUCCUAUGUCGAGCCUUCAGCAGUGUAAAGGUUCUGAGACUCUGUACUUAGGAAAGCAGAUGAAUUUGGCAUUUCUCAGCAUUUUUAAGAAAUAUUUGUUCAAGAAAUUGUAAUCUCUCAAUAUCUUGAGAAAUUGGGACCCAGUCCAGUUUCCGCAUUCUGCAUCAACCUCACCUUCAAGACCCUGGUUGGCUUCUGAAAAAUCUCUCAAAUUUUUUAAAGUAUUUUUCAGCAGAGGAUUUAUUUCAAAGGUUACCGCCACAGCUGUCAAAUAGCAGUGACAAAAUGUAGUUUUGAGCUUUUAUUACUUGUGUGUGCAUUUGCAUUUCUCCUUAAUUGCAGCAAAACAGAUGUCACUUUUUUUCAGAGUGAGAAAAAACAGAAGGGUCCUAAAUAUUUUCCUACAGUAAUGGUGAUUUGAACAUGAUAUCAUUUUCCUAGCAUAUGAAAUGCAGACAGUGAGAUGAUUGAUAAUCCUUUUUUUAUUCAAUAGUGGUGAUUGCAAAAAUGAGUAUAAGCCUCAAAUUAAUAGCAAAGGCUGUCAGUAUCACUGGUUAUAUCCAGUUAAUUUUUAAAACAUUGAAGGGAAAUUGUUCACUUAUUCUAUGUAGAUUGAAAAAAAAAUAAUCUGUAGAAGGUUAUAAUCUUAUUUACCAUCAAAGACUGGAGGAGGAGCAGUAAAGGAAGGUCUUGUGUAAAUCAAUACGGACAUUGAUACAUUUGUUUUCUGAUUAAAUAGACUUUUCAUUUGGAAGAGCUAUAGUGCACAAAACAAAAGAGAAAUACUGAUGAAAGUAAAGUUGUUUCAAAACUUUAUUAUUUGGGGGGGAUAUGGUGUAUAUUAAUCUAAUAAAUGGAACCAAACCAAAA